rnacentral:rRNA from 1 species
ACUCCUACGGGAGGCAGCAGUGGGGAAUAUUGGACAAUGGGCGCAAGCCUGAUCCAGCCAUGCCGCGUGGGUGAAGAAGGCCUUCGGGUUGUAAAGCCCUUUUGUUGGGAAAGAAAAGCAGUCGGUUAAUACCCGAUUGUCUGACGUACCCAAAGAUAGAC